CAUGAUAAGGUUAGUAGCUGAUUUUUAAUUUUAUUAAGUUGCAUGGUGGAGUUCCUUUAAAAGUCAUGUUGGGUUAUUUUACUUCUUUUGUUUGAUUCUUGAAUUCAAUCGCUGGCAAGCUCGAAGAACAUAAGAUUUGCCUCGGCACAUAUUAAGUUGAUGAACUGAUCAUCAGUUAGAAGCUGAUACUUGAAAAGAUAAAUUUUUUAUUGUUGUGCCAAAUAUAACUUUUUUAAUUUUCUUAAUUUGUUCAUUAUCUCAAUUUCUAUUUCUUUGUCAGUACUUCUACCUCAUCUCUACCAAACAUUACUUUUGAAGUAACUCCACCAUGCAACUUAAUAAAAUUAAAUAUUAGCUACUAACCCUAUCAUGAAAUUAUUUAGAGUUGAGGUAGAGGUACGGACCUAGGAAAUAGAAAUUGGGACAGUGAACAAAAUAUAGUUUGAUGAUUGUUAAUUAGAAAUAUAAAAUUUGUUAUACUCUAAUUUGUUAAAAAUGGUAUGUGCUUGAAGACUGGAGCUCGAAGAACAUAAGAUUUGCCUCGGCACAUGUUAAGUUGAAGAACUGAUCAUCAGUUAGAAGCCGAUACUUGAGAAAUAGAAAAUUUACUUUUUGAAAUUCCAUGAUAGGCUCAGUAGCUAAUUUUUAAUUUUAUUAAGUUGCAUGCUAGUGUUCCUUCAAAAGUCAUGUUCGGUUAUUUUCCUUCUUUUGUUUGCUAAUUAGAAAUUGAAAAUUUAUAAACUCUAAUUUUUGAAAAAUGGCAUGCGCUUGAAGGUUGGAGCUGGAAGAACAUGAGGUUUACGUCGGCACAAGUUAAGUUGAAGAACUGAUGAUUAGUUAGAAGCUGAUACUUGAAAAGUUAAGUUAUUUAUUCUUUAGCUAAAUAUAACUUUUUAAUUUCCUUAUUAUGUUCACUAUCUCAAUAUCUAUUUCUAAAGUUAGUAGCUCAACCUAAGCUCUUAAUAAUUUCAUGAUAGGGUUAGUAGCUAAUCUUUAAUUUUAUUAAGUUGCAUGGUGGAGUCACUCCAAAAGUCAUGUUGGGUUUUUUUAAUAUUUUUGUUUGAAUAACUUUUUUUGUUUGAUGUAUGAAUUGAAUUUUUGUAAUUUAGUGUGAUGAUUGUUAAUUAGAAAUAGAAAGUUUAUAAACUCUAAUUUGUUAAAAUGUUAUGUGCUUGAAGGUUGGAGCUCGAAGAACAUAGGGUUUGCGUCGGCACAAGUUAAGUUGAAAAACUUAUGAUCAGUUAGAAGCUGAUACUUGAAA
rnacentral:lncRNA from 1 species